UCAGGCGUCGAGCGGCGGACGGGUGAGUAAUACUUAGGAAUCUACCUAGUAAUGGGGGAUAGCUCGGGGAAACUCGAAUUAAUACCGCAUACGACCUACGGGAGAAAGGGGGCAACUUGUUGCUCUCGCUAUUAGAUGAGCCUAAGUCGGAUUAGCUAGAUGGUGGGGUAAAGGCCUACCAUGGCGACGAUCUGUAGCUGGUCUGAGAGGAUGAUCAGCCACACCGGGACUGAGACACGGCCCGGACUCCUACGGGAGGCAGCAGUGGGGAAUAUUGGACAAUGGGGGAAACCCUGAUCCAGCCAUGCCGCGUGUGUGAAGAAGGCCUUUUGGUUGUAAAGCACUUUAAGCAGUGAAGAAGACUCUUCGGUUAAUACCCGGAGACGAUGACAUUAGCUGCAGAAUAAGCACCGGCUAACUCUGUGCCAGCAGCCGCGGUAAUACAGAGGGUGCAAGCGUUAAUCGGAAUUACUGGGCGUAAAGGGAGCGUAGGUGGCUCGAUAAGUCAGAUGUGAAAUCCCCGGGCUCAACCUGGGA
rnacentral:rRNA from 1 species